ACUUUCUCCUAGGCAUUUUAAUAACACUCCUUCGACCGUCUUUUUGAAUAAUUCAUCAUUUACCAAGACGUAGCUAAGGGCCCUAUACUUUAUCUUUCGAUUUGUCGACCCCACGGGAUUACGUAAGUAAUUGACUAGCGGUUUAUGCCACUCACUCCCCCCCCCGGUCGUCGAUAGCCAGAAUUUCAAAAUGAUUUUUAUCUACGGUUCCCAACUUCACGAUCGCCAAAUCCAAUGGUGACAACACUG
rnacentral:lncRNA from 1 species